UCCGAUUGAAUAUUGACACCCAAAAAUUAUCUCGGGAAUUGGUAGUGCUCUGGGUCACCCAAUUAAGAUAGAUGGUGCUUUUGCUAAUGGGGAAAUCGGGCAUUUCGCGCGUAUUUUGGUUGAGAUUGAUCUUGCCCAUCCACUGCCAGAGACUCUAUUCAUUGAUGAAGGAUAAGUGAACACUCCAUUGAUAAGUGUCGGAAAGUGCAAAAACCUAUAGCUAUGGAGGUUCCAGCAACAAUACCAUAGCUUACCCCUGCCCUCGUCAAACAAGCCAAGAAAUGGCAACCUGUUGAAGUUGAUGAUGAUAAUGCUACGACACCUAUCAAGACCAUGUUUUUUGUGCUUGAUAGGCUCGAGGAGGAACCAAAUCGGCCGUCGAGGCCAAAUAUGGAGGCCAUAAUGGUUCCAGUUAUUCCCGAUGCUGCUAUGGAGAAUAAUAAUAGAUAUGCCACUCUUAUGGAAGAAAAUCCUAGCAGCAAGACCCUGCUACGCCAACGCCCCCCGCCAAGUCGAGGUCACCAAACAAAUUUGGUCUGAAACUUCUAGACGCGACUAUUUGUGAUGAUGAUACGGAUCAAGUGGCGGAGGAGGUCUCUACAGCCACUCCUUCUGCUAAAGAUAUUAACCAUCUAGCGUUGGAAAAUGCUAGCAGAAUUAGCAAGUUGGAGGAACAUAUUAAUCAGGGGAUUCAACUUUUAGUUGAGACAUCACAGGCGCCGCCGAAGCGCGGACAGGGUCAUCCACCAAAAGGUAUGGGAUGUGAGCAACAUGCGACAUGUCUUGUGCCAAAAGAUAACAUAUGUCGCCUCAAAAAAGUGGUGGAGGCGGGUCAUAAGACAAGAGAUUGUGUUGUUGAUCACAGUCACAACAAUAAUAGCUGUGUUAUGAAUAAUAUUACCAAUAUACAAUGGUCGGAUGAAGUGGAGUUGGGUGACACCCAACCCACAACUGCUACACUCUUUUCAAGUUGAGUGCUGCAUUUUUUCAGCUUUUUUUAGGAUAUCAGGUUAAGUUGGUAUCUUCCUUAGUGUUGGUUUUAAUUAGAUAUGUCGGCUCUGUUCGCUUGCCAUCUUUUAUUUAUUAGACGAGCACUAUUUUGGCUU